CCUACGGGCGGCAGCAGUGAGGAAUAUUGGUCAAUGGACGCAAGUCUGAACCAGCCAUGCCGCGUGCAGGAAGACGGCUCUAUUAGUUGUAAACUGCUUUUGUACGAGGGUAAAUCCCGAUACGUGUAUCGGGUUGAAAGUAUCGUACGAAUAAGGAUCGGCUAACUCCGUGCCAGCAGCCGCGGUAAUAAGGAGGAUUCAAGCGUUCUACGGAUUUAUUGGGUUUAAAGGGUUCGUAGGCAGGUUAGCAAGUCAGCGGUAAAAUCGUGGAGCUCAACUCCAUCCAGCCGGUGAAACUGAUGAUCUUGAGUGGGCGAGAAGUAUGCGGAAUGCGUGGUGUAGCGGUGAAAUGCAUAGAUAGCACGCAGAAGUCCGAUUGCGAAGGCAGCAUACCGGCGCCCGACUGACGCUGAAGCACGAAAGCGUGGGUAUCGAACAGGAUUAGAUACCCCGGUAGUC
rnacentral:rRNA from 1 species